UGCUGCGGGGAGAAGCAGUAUCGUGC
rnacentral:piRNA from 1 species